rfam:Cricetulus griseus cell line CHO-K1, whole genome shotgun sequence.
UGGCCCAUGAAAUCAAGCUUGGGUGAGACCUGGUGCAGAACAGGAAGGCGACCCAUACUUGGUUUCAGUGGCUG